AAGUGCUUCUGCUCACUGCUGCAACACUGAUGACUGCAACUCACAAAAUCUAUCUUACCCCAUUAAUCUACCAAAUACUGCCCUCCAGUGUAUUGUUUGUGAUUCCACCACUUCUCAGUGCAACACUACAAUAACAUGUUCAGAAGAAGAGACUAACUGCCUCACAGCAACUUUGAGUGAUGGCACAAACACAAUUCUAAUACUGGGCUGUGCAACCCCAAACACAUGUGCAGCUGCUUCAAGUUUGGUUAAUUUACCGUUCAUGCAGAAUGUUGGCUCAGUCAUCAGCGGACCGACCUGCUGUUCAACAAGUUUGUGCAAUUAUCCAACAGCAAGAACUACACCGACCUCUACAACCUCUCCAAACCCCACAACUACACUAACCCCAACAACUACACCGACCCCAACAACUACACUGACCCCGCACAACUACACUAAUCCCAACAACUACACCUACCCCCACAAUUACACUGACCCCAACAACACCAACCCCGACAACUACACACACCCCCACAACCCCAACCCCCACAACUACACCACGACCAACAUAACUACACCAACCCCUAAAACCCCGACCCCCACAACUGCACCGACCCCUAUGACACCUUAAAAUACACCAACUCCUAUAACACCAACUACACCGACCCCAUGACUCCAACCCCCACAACUACACCGACCCCUGCAACCAGUGAUGCAUCUAGCUUCAGACAUGGCCUUUGCCAUCUUCUGCUUGGAUUCUUUAUCUUUAUCAUUUAACUGGUUUAAGAUAGAGCAGAGGUGUCACAUCUAAAACAAAUUUAGAAGAUAAUGCAAACACUUUCUGUUUCUGAGUAUUUUGAAUGGAGAAAAAUGAAAAGGAGGGUGUAGCUUUAACUUACAUAUAUGUGACUAUUGAAUUAAAUUUUUUUCUAGUAUCUCUAACAGCAAAGAAUAUGAUAUAAUUUAUUAAUAAUAUAUUCUUACAAUUGUCUCAUAUAAAAUGGACCUUAAUAAAUCUUAAUGAACGGGAAUACGAUUUAUUGGGCAUUUCAAAUAUUUAUGCACCGUUUCAAAUUUAAACCUCUGUGGCUGAAAAUGUUCUUUCCCAUUAUUUAUAUGAAAUUGUAUGCUACUUACUUCAGUUUUGGGGUUCCUCAGGGGUUCUGCUCUAAUUAUAUAUAAUCCUACAAAAUGGGAUAAUUAGACCAGUUUAAAACUAUCACAACCAACACCAGCUAAUUUUUCAUGGGCAUAAGCAAUCGGAAUUAAGGGCUGAUCAGAAUAAAAAUGCAUCAUGUAAACACACUGGUUGGAACAUUGUGGUCACAUUGAGCUCAAUCAGAAUAAAAUUGUUUUCCAAAUGAGAUGGUUUAUGCAGAUAAUUAAUCAGAUCACAUUCAUAUAAACACUUUACGAUCAUGUCAUUUGAAUUGUGGCAAACUGUCUUGAAUGCACAUGUGUGUCUCUCAUCCUGUACUGUAGGAAGUCGACACUUAAAAGUCAAAUUAAUCCUCAUUUGUUCUUGUCUUGAGAAUAAUUUUCUGUUUUAAC